AUGACUGCAGAUAAACAUAAAAUGAUAACAGAUGAUCUUUCUGUCUGUAGAUGUGCUGUAAUUUCCACUCUUGCAGACGGUGCCAUGGCCACUUUCUCAUGCGGUGGGAUGGAGGGACGUUAUAUGAUUGUUCAUAUUCCUGGAGAUCAGAAGAUACUUAGUCUUAGUGAAGCUGAAGUCUACGGGUAUUUGGCAGGGAACAUGUUUAAAGGGUUAGUGCACCCCAGUCUAGCACUUAUCCACUUAUCCCGGGUUUCGGCAGCUACAUUCUUGGGGAAGUCGUGGCCUAGUGGUUAGAGAGGUUGACUCCUAACCCUAAGGUUGUGGGUUCGAGUCUCGGGCCGGCAAUACCACGACUGAGGACCGCCACCUUGAGCAAGGCACCGAACCCCCAACUGCUCCCCGGGCACCGCAGCAUAAAUGGCUGCCCACUGCUCCGGGUGUGUGUUCAAGGUGUGUGUGUGUUCACUGCUGUGUGUGUGUGCACUUUGGAUGGGUUAAAUGCAGAGCACGAAUUCUGAGUAUGGGCUAACAUACUUGGCUGUAUGUCACGUCACUUUUCACUUCACUUUUUAAAAUAAAGAUGCUGUCAUUUCAUUUUUAGGUGAAUAAACCCCUUAAAAUAAAGAUUGAAAGAGUUGUUGAAGCUUAAUGUUGGUUGACGUUGUCAUUUGUCGUGUACAUGGUGUAAUUUUUUUCAUAAGCUACGGUUAGUUUUUUACUUCUGCCGAUUGUAUUUCAGGCUUCACAGUUGGUGUUUAUUCGUGAAGAUUGUCAUAACAAACAAAACAUGUCAGAAGCUUGUUUUCUGCAAUACAAAAGCCAGUGGUAAGUGGCAGGUCGAGAGGCUUGCAGAAAACGUGAGCAUAUACUAAUCAAUUGUGUAACAUUUGCACAAGUUACCAUUUCCCAGCACAAACUUUUCAUUUCAGUUGAAUGCUAUUGAAGAUGGAGAGUUGGGUUGUUGUAAAAGAGGUCAUUAGUGUUCCACGAGGUUGUUGAGGUACUAAUGGAUUAAUUAUUGUGAAUACAGUUGUGAGGGAGUCAUUAGACAAUAUAAUUUUGUGUAUAAUUCUGUUUGUUGAUAGUAGUAGAAAUUAUUCACAUGACUUCAAGUCAUUGUUCACUAAUAAUCUUCCCAACCACUGCAAAUGUUUGUGCAUUAAGAUAUUUUCUUUUCUUUCUUUCUUUAUACAGUGUAUAUAUAUGUGUGUGUGUGUGUGUGUGUGUGUGUGUAUUUUUUUAAUAUUUUUACUAGGAAAGCUGGCAGUGGAUGGAGCCGCUACACAGUCAUCAACAUUUAUGGGCUGGUUUGCUGAAAGGGCAAAAUGAGACUAACCCGUGGUGGAGGCUGGAUCUGUGUCAAAUUUACAGAGUUAGUAGAGUGGUGGUCACUAACGGAAAAGACUGCUGUACCGAACAAAUCAACGGAGCAGAAAUUCACAUCAGAAACUAUUUGGAGAACAACGGCACAAACAAUCCCAUUUGAGACUCUUGAGUUUGAAAGAAUGUGAGACAUCAAGCACAAAUGUGAAGGAUUACUGCAUAUAUGACAGUAUUUUUAUAUCCUUUCUCUCUGUCUAUAAAUGUGCUGUUAUUCCAGCAGGUGAGUGCGACAGCUACUCGUGCGGUGGGAUGGAGGGACGUUACGUGAAUCUGAUCAUUCCUGGAGACAUGAAGACACUCAGUCUCUGUGAGGUGGAGGUCUAUGGAGAAGGUGUAACAAUAUUUUUGUCAACAAAACAGUGAGGAGCACUGCUACAUUUUUACUGAAAGCAACCUCUACUAAUUCAUAUUACAUGCAUCAAUGUAUCUUUAUUUAGGUCCAGUUUUAAAAAGAUCUUUUGUAAAGAUGCAGUUUCAACUCCAGCGUUGAUUUAACUGACCCCUCCGUGAGAGAAAAUGUUCUGAAACAGGUGAGAAAGAAACAAAUUCAACUGUCAUGAUUACUGUAAAACACCAGCAGCUCUCAUCUGGUUUCCUUCUUUUUAAAAACCGACCUCAUAGUCCUGAAGCUUACUGAAAUCCAAUGAAACCUUUAAAUGUCUUUGUGGACAUUUCAAGGCUCGCCGUGAUUAUUUUUGUUGCACUUGGAGAUUUACAUGUAACCUGAAUUGUUACUGAAGAUUUCAGUGAUUGUAUUUAAAAUCAAGGUUAUUUCAGAAAAUUCACCAAAUGACUCAGACCCCUAAACUGGUGAUCCAGAAGGUGAAUGCUGGUAAAAGAGAGUCUGUUCUCACAACUGUACAAUAACACAUGAAAUUAGCUGCAUACAUAUGAAUGAUUC
rnacentral:lncRNA from 12 species